rnacentral:lncRNA from 1 species
CUCAGCGGCACAUAGCAAUAAAAGUAUUUGUCACUCCAGUUACUUAUUGCCAUUGGUCAGCUAUGGCUCUGCUUCACUGCAGAACAGAGGACUAAUGAAUUGCCAGGAAGUCUUCUUACUUUUCUCUCCUUAAAGAAGAAAAUGGCACUGAAGAAGAUAGCCAGGAGCCCCUGCUUCCAUAGUAUUAAAGUCUUUUUGAGGAUAAGAAGGCUAAAGGUGUCCAAUGGAAGCCUUCUGAAGCUACAGAAAUAGGGUGUUUGGCCUUCCCAGAUCAGGACUGAAGCUGUCACUGCUCUGGAGCAGGAGUGGAGUAUAGCCAUUGGGGAGGAAUCGGAGGCUCUUCCCUGGGCACUGAGCCAACCAACCACCACACCCCUCCCCUGCACACACACACACCAAGUCCCCCACAACUCUGGAGGACUGCACUACCCCAAAGCCUUCCUACUCCAAAUGCUAUAAGGAGUAGGAGGGUCUCUGGGUGCCAUUUGAAGCCUUCAGACAAAGGCAAAGGGGAGGAGGGAAAGAAUCUGGGCUGCAGAGACCAGCAGGAAAGAGGUCAGAUGCUCACUGGCACACAUGUAGGAUGUGGAGCUCCCUCCAAACCACUGACCCGGAGUUAACCCUAAACCUCUUCCACAACUUCUCCCUCAGCCCCUUCCACAGCAGAACACACAGUUGAACACCUACC